rnacentral:rRNA from 1 species
GAUGAACGCUGACAGAAUGCUUAACACAUCAGCAAUUGAUUGGUGGCGGACGGGUGAGUAACGCGUACAGAACUUGCCUCACAGCUAGGGACAACAUUUAGAAAUGAAUGCUAAUACCUGAUACUGUGAGAGGGCUUUGCGUCCCAUUAGCUAGUUGGAGAGGUAACAGCUCACCAAGGCGAUGAUGGGUAGCCGGCCUGGGAGGGUGAACGGCAAAAAGGGGACUGGGACACAGCACUUACGCCGACGGGAGGAAGCAGUGGAGAAUAUUGGACAAAGGACCGAGGGCUGAGCCAGCAAUUCUGUGUGAAAGAUGAAGAUUUGGGAAUGUAAAGUGCUUUCAGUUGGGAAGCGGUACCAACAGAAGAAGUGACGGCUAAAUACGUGCCAGCAGCCGCGGUAAUUC